rnacentral:lncRNA from 1 species
UGGGUUCUGGUCGAUCGAACAAGAGAGCAGGGAAAGGGGUGAAACCCUAACUUCAAGAAAUCAAGAAUUGAACUUGAAUCAAAGGAGAAAUCUAAUGCAUGAAGCCCUAAAUGCGUGCAUAAAGGAAGAAGGUUCCAGCACUAAGAAAUCGGAAAGCUCUCAAGAUCGAGGUAAAUCCUCAAUUUAGGCGACUUAGCAAAUUGGAGCGAGCACGUGUUCAUGUCAUGUCAUACCAAGCGCUUCCGCUAGUUGUACUAAUGUUUUUGGUCUUGCAUAACCUUGUUAGUAGUCAUACUUUUCAAAACUCGUGUCUAGUCGAACGGGUCGUAGAUAUUAUCGUUUGAAUGUUGUAUAAAACAGGGAUCCACUCGUCUUACGGACGGGUCAUGCCCAAAUUUUGUUAAAAAUGUUACUAGUGUUAGUAUUGAAAUCUUUAAAUCGAGCAAAGUUGGGACGUUUUAAAAGUUUAUAUUUUUAAUUUGUCCUUUGUAUGUUAUUUUAUUAACAUAAAAAGCGGGUCUAACAAGACUAGCCCAAUUGGUAGAGCCACAUGCCUGUUAUGAGAGAGGUCUCAAAAUCAAACCUGAGCAAAGGGAAUAUUUUAGAGUAAUUGGUGUAAAAGUAGAGUGAGUAACAUUUGCCGUUAACAAAAAAUAAACUAGUUAGUGCGCAUUUAUUAAACUAGUUAAGCUAAGUGUUGUGAUUUCAUAAAUUAUCACUAUCGUAGGCAUGAGCUCUUACUCAUUUUUUUCCACCGUUAAUGCGUAAUGAUUUUCCAAAUUUUCAUACUUACUAAAAAUAAUAUUAA